CCUAGGGUUAAGAAGGACCUGCCACUUGCCAGAGCAGGGUGAGGAUGCAGCAGCUGUUGCUGUUUAUGCCCUAGGAUUGUGCAGGCUCCCUCCAGAGAAGUGGUGUCAUGUCACUGAGGUAUCAGGAUCCGAACUCAUUUCUGUCAUGGUUUAACACUCUAAAUGUGUGAACAUCAAUGAUGCAUAAGAUGCCAUAACCCAGCUCUACCAUCUGUCUGCUGGCUGGGGAGGGGAGCAUUAGGAUGUUUCACCAGCAAAUGCCACAGUGUUUUGCUUCAACAUCAAAACCAGUAAAUCUGAUCCUUUCUAUAAACACAGCUGAGGAACCACUAAAAUAGCCAAUGUGGGCUCAGGAUGAGUUGGCAUUUUGCUACCACACACAUUUGUUUUGCAUCUUCAGAACUUUACCACAGCAAUUCCACUACAUUUCCUGCAACCUUGUUCCAGGAUCUGCCAUUCCCAUGCUCAGAAAUCUGCAUCCUGAACUAUACACAGAAAAUAGCUAGUCCGAAUAGAGUCUUAAAUAUGAGCCUGACUUUGAUAAACACUUGGUACUGCCAGAUCCUCCAAGGAUUAAAACAGGGAGUUUGAAUCUGCAAUUCAGAACUUUGUGUGGCCCCAGGGGCAGCUCAGAAAAGCUCCAUGAAAGCAGCAGGGAACUCAGGCCCAGACUGCAGCUGCAGAGCAGCUCCCUCACACAGAACCUCUAAAGGCUUUUGCCCCUGCCUUCAGAAUCCCCAAAGUGCAAGGGAAGAGACCACUGAAACAACAGAAUCUGCAAAAGGAAAUUAGAAAUGAGAAAAAAGCCAAGCUUCACCUGCUGAAGAUAAAAAAUAUUGGACCUUCUUGCCAAGAAUUCUGGCAAACCCAGCACCUCUCCAAGCCCUUCCAGUGAAGCAGGAUGACUUCCUGAGGGUGUGUGCACAGUAAGAAGUGCAGCAUUUUCCUUCCAACUCUGAGCAAAAUCCCCUGCAGCUCUGCUGAGAGAUGCCAGCUCCAGUCCUGGGUGCCAAGUGGACAUGUCAGUGCAGGAUUGCACGGGCAGAAUCCAACAGAAUUGAUCUGUGUGGCACACCAGGGCAUUUACACAGUUCUACUACUUCCACAUCCACAACCGAGCAUGUGAUGCUUGUCUAACCACACAGCUAAAAAUAUCCAAAAAUAGCUUGUUUUGCAUGAAUGCAAGUCUCCAUUCUGAAAUAAACAAAUGUUCAGAAGAGUCCAUCAUGAUGGCUCAUAUCUCAAAGUACACCUCUCACCCCUCUGCCAGUGGGGCCAGUGGAGCAUUUAUCCAUUUUCUAUAUUCUUCCACUGUCCUCUGCCUCUUUUGAUUUAUGUGCCAAAUUUUCCCAUUUCCCAAUUACUCACCCCUGUCGAUUUCUCUCGAGGUUCUGAAGGUCAGGGUGACUCCAAGAGAUCAAAAAGUGUCUUUGCUUCCCUUAGCCUGAGCAUCCAAAGAAGGAGCCUGGAGUGCUUCUGAUUGCGUUUUCAAGGUCGUUUAUUUCUUCUUAUCUAAACUCUCUUUCUCUCUGACCUGCCAAGCUCUGGCUAGCAAGGAGACCAUAACAUUUCUGGCCUGAGCCCUGGGCAGCUCCCACA